rnacentral:tRNA from 1 species
GGCCCCGUAGCUCAGCAGGAUAGAGCGACCGCCUCCUAAGCGGUAGGCCAGUGGUUCGAAUCCACUCGGGGCCGCCA